rnacentral:misc_RNA from 1 species
CAAUAUGGGCACAACUUUUACCUGAUGCCUGUAUAUAUAUUACCAAAAGUUAGCCCCAAGCAAAAUAAAUAAAAGUUUAACAUACAGAAAAUACCCUUCAAAAAUUUUUGCAAGAUAUGGCAGGUGCAUUUCCAUGCUAUGUUCAGCUUCAUCAACCCGAAGAUCCAUCGAUUCAAAUUUUCCAGUAGCUUUAAGUUCCUCAAUGACUUCUAAAUCAAUAGGCAAAUCUCCUAUUGGAGUCUUGUAAACUGUUGCCGUUGAAAGAGCACAUUUUGGAGUAUAAUAAUGGUGAGAUGGACCAAGCAGGAAUACCCGUGAAAUGUUUGUUGGGUCUAUAUUUCCAAAUGCAUAUGCAGCAGCACGACCUGAAUAUGAAUAACCUGCAUGCGGAGCAAUCACGCCUCGAACAUCAGGUGAUUUAGCCAGAGCAGCAGCCUUUAGCCAUCCAUCAAGUUCCUCUUCCAGUUUUUUAGGAUCAUCAGUGUACCAGGAGCCAGCAUGUGAUGCUCUUCUGAUUUUCUCCAUUUUUUAUUUCUAGGUAAGAUUGAAGGAUUUUGUAAUCUGGUAGAGAAUGCCCUAAUUCAGAAAAGAGAACGAUGACUUGCUUUCGAUUGAAAUUCUUUUCGUCUGCAAAGGAGAAAGAGGGAAGAGAGUGAGCAAGUAAAGUAGUGUAGAACCUCUCUAAAUUAU